GAUGAACGCUGGCGGCGUGCCUAAUACAUGCAAGUCGAGCGGCAGCGCGGUCUUCGGACUGGCGGCGAGCGGCGGACGGCUGAGUAACACGUAGGAACGUACCCCAAAGUGAGGGAUAAGCACCAGAAAUGGUGUCUAAUACCGCAUGUGAUUUUCGGAUGAAAGCUUUAUGCGCUUUGGGAACGGCCUGCGUCCGAUUAGCUAGUUGGUGAGGUAAUGGCUCACCAAGGCGACGAUCGGUAGCUGGUCUGAGAGGAUGAUCAGCCAGACUGGGACGGAGAACGGCCCAGACUCCUACGGGAGGCAGCAGUAGGGAAUUUUCCACAAUGGGCGAAAGCCUGAUGGAGCAACGCCGCGUGCAGGAUGAAGGCCCUCGGGUCGUAAACUGCUUUUAUUGGUGACGAUUAUGACAGUAGCCAAUGAAUAAGGAUCGGCUAACUCCGUGCCAGCAGCCGCAGUAA
rnacentral:rRNA from 1 species